ACCAAGGCAGAGAUGGGUAGCUGGUCUGAGAGGAUGACCAGCCACACUGGAACUGAGACACGGUCCAGACUCCUACGGGAGGCAGCAGUAGGGAAUUUUGGGCAAUGGGCGAAAGCCUGACCCAGCAACGCCGCGUGUGGGAUGAAGGCCCUCGGGUCGUAAACCACUGUCAGGAGGAAAGAAAAGCCGGCCGGGUAAUAUUCGGUCGGCCUGACGGUACCUCCAAAGGAAGCACCGGCUAACUCCGUGCCAGCAGCCGCGGUAAUACGGAGGGUGCAAGCGUUGUUCGGAAUUACUGGGCGUAAAGCGCGUGUAGGUGGUUGAGUAAGUCGAAUGUGAAAGCCCCGGGCUCAACCCGGGAAGUGCAUCCGAAACUGCUCGACUAGAGUCCCGGAGAGGAAGGCAGAAUUCCCAAUGUAGGGGUGAAAUCCGUAGAUAUUGGGAGGAAUACCGGUGGCGAAGGCGGCCUUCUGGACGGUGACUGACACUCAGACGCGAAAGCGUGGGGAGCAAACAGGAUUAGAUACCCUGGUAGUCCACGCUGUAAACGUUGCGAACUAGGUGUCGGGGGUAUUCACCCCUCCGGUGCCGAAGCUAACGUCUUAAGUUCGCCGCCUGGGAAGUACGGCCGCAAGGCUAAAACUCAAAUGAAUUGACGG
rnacentral:rRNA from 1 species